rnacentral:lncRNA from 1 species
CGGCGAGCCGUUCCUUCCCAGCCACAACCCUGGGCUCCGGAGCUGUCUGACGACGGGACAGGUGCAGGCAGCACUAACGUUUUGUUUUCACGGACAAAGACGUUUCUUCGGACAUCCCAAACACACCUCUAAGGCAACGACACCUCCUCCCGGCAGCCCGCAGCUUUUCCCACCAGCAGUUGCUUGCGGUGCUGCAGUGCAUGGCACCGAAAGGCUGUGGCCGGGGGCAGCAGGACAGCCGCCUGGAAGCACCUCCUGCAGCAUGCUCUCCCUCCUUCCAGGAUGCUGCUUUGCAGCUGGCAUUAAAAUUUCUCCCUGCU